rnacentral:rRNA from 1 species
AUUGAACGCUGGCGGCAUGCCUUACACAUGCAAGUCGAACGGCAGCACGGGAGCAAUCCUGGUGGCGAGUGGCGAACGGGUGAGUAAUAUAUCGGAACGUGCCCAGUCGUGGGGGAUAACGCAGCGAAAGCUGUGCUAAUACCGCAUACGAUCUAAGGAUGAAAGCGGGGGAUCGCAAGACCUCGCGCGAUUGGAGCGGCCGAUAUCAGAUUAGCUAGUUGGUGGGGUAAAGGACCACCAAGGCGACGAUCUGUAGCUGGUCUGAGAGGACGACCAGCCACACUGGAACUGAGACACGGUCCAGACUCCUACGGGAGGCAGCAGUGGGGAAUUUUGGACAGUGGGCGCAAGCCUGAUCCAGCAAUGCCGCGUGCAGGAUGAAGGCCUUCGGGUUGUAAACUGCUUUUGUACGGAACGAAACGGCCCUUUCUAAUACAGGGGGCUAAUGACGGUACCGUAAGAAUAAGCACCGGCUAACUACGUGCCAGCCGCCGCCGUAAAAC